UACGGAGGAUGCAAGCGUUAUCCGGAAUUAUUGGGCGUAAAGGGUCCGCAGGUGGUCAUUCAAGUCUGCUGUCAAAGCGUGGAGCUUAACUCCAUAUCGGCGGUGGAAACUGAGUGACUAGAGUUCGGUAGGGGUCACGGGAAUUCCCAGUGUAGCGGUGAAAUGCGUAGAUAUUGGGAAGAACACCGGCGGCGAAGGCGGCUACCUGGCCCAACAUUGACGCUGAGACCCGAAAGCAUGGGGAUCAAACAGG
rnacentral:rRNA from 1 species